rnacentral:rRNA from 1 species
CAGCCGCCGCGGGAAUACGUAGGGUGCAAGCGUUAAUCGGAAUUACUGGGCGUAAUGCGUGCGCAGGCGGUUCUAUAAGACAGAUGCGAAAUCCCCGGGCUCAACCUGGGAACUGCAUUUGUGACUGUAGAGCUGGAGUGCGGCAGAGGGGGAUGGAAUUCCGCGUGUAGCAGUGAAAUGCGUAGAUAUGCGGAGGAACACCGAUGGCGAAGGCAAUCCCCUGGGCCUGCACUGACGCUCAUGCACGAAAGCGUGGGGAGCAAACAGGAUUAGAUACCCCUGUAGUCCCUGUCUCUUAUAC